AUCUGCAAGAUAAUAUGGUUAUAGUGAGAAACACAGAAUACAAAGACACUUGGCAAAAGGAAGUCAACCAGAUUCCAUGCACAAAAUGAAACUAAAAACGACAAGGAUUAGAAAUUUUUCUUACUGGAGUAAUGAACCUUGCCCUUCUCUGUAGUAGUCUUCUGGUGAAGUGAGUGCUAGAUCUGCAAAGCAAGAGAAAUCUGCAUCUGGAGUAUACAAAAGGUUAUCUAACCCCAGAGCUUGCCUCAAUUGCCUACAUGUUCAAAACAAGGAUCUGUUAAAAAAUGGAAAUUUCUUCAAUGCCUUAGUAAAGGGAAGUGAAGUGAAAGCAUUUUAAUUAUUUAUGUUAUUUUUGAAUAAUGGAUAAGGUAUCUUAUGGUGUUAAUAUAAGUAUGUAAUUACAUUUAACUUACUUAUUUAUUAGUAAUGUCAUAUUUAUAAAUUUUUUAAUUAAAUAAAUAUUUUUUUAAAGAUUGGCGAAUUUUUACGGAUUUACAAAAGUAAAUCCAUAUCCAAUCCACCGCUUGUGGAUUUUUAAAUUUUUAAUCCAAUUCAAUCCACCAAUCCACGGAUAAGAUUUUUACGAACCAAAUUUUUACGGAUCGGACGAAUUGAGCUGAUCGAACCGGAUUCUGAACACCCCUACUAUUGGGUUUCACUUUGUUUUACAUGAAUUUGGGAAAAAUACACGGAUAGACAAGGGAACAGUCAUUGUUAAGCUGUGAAGCUUGUGGAAGAUACCAUUGCCUAUUUGCAGCUUAAACUCCUGGAGCUUUGCUCAUGCUUUCUCUUUCCCACUUUCUCAUGGAACAGAUGUAUACAUCAUGAAAUGAAAACAACAGCACAAAUUGCUGUCUCGUAAGAGAAACAGUCAUACAUAGUAGGUUAGGCCUCAUGUCCAUUAACUUACUAAUGAAUUUUAUGAAAAUUGGCUAUCUCAUUGAAAUUACAUAGGUAUUGGAAACCCUUACUCCAGCUGCAUCAUCUCAUCAGUGAAAGCUGGAUUUUCCAUUUGUUCUUGAGAUUCAUAUUAAGGCAGCAAAUUGCUCAUCCCAUACUAUCUAUGUAAUCCUGUAAAAGGGAAGGGCGUUUAGAUGUGGAAAAACCUUACUCCUGCCGCUGCACCUCAAACAGAUUGCGAUCACACAAGACUUAGUUCAUCAUUAGUAGUAGUUGGAGCUUCCAUUUGUUCUUGAGAUUCAAAGGCAGCAAGCUGCUUCCUCAGUGCUACUAAUUCUUCCCCGGCAUUGCAUAUGUAGGCUGAGGCUUGUCUACCAGACAAAGUUGCUCCUUCCAUACUAUCUAUGUAAUCCUGUGAGAGUGAAACCAUUUAGGAGACAUAUCUCUUUUUUUUCCCAAUAUUUGGGAUGAAACAAUGAUAUACAGUUACCUGUUUUGUAUACGAGCCAGCAAGGAAGAAGUUCUUCACAGGUGUCUUUUGAUCAGGUCUGAAGGGGUCUUUACCAGGUCCCUCACGGUACAAAGAUUGCCCGAUUUUGACAACAGAUGACCAAAUAACUUCUAAACCUUGGGAUGAUGGAAAUAGAGCUAAAACCUAAUAAAAUGAACCAUGAAUGGAUAAUUUGUACUGAUGUAUGUUAUCCAGAAAGUUGCAUGACCUUUUGUGGUACUCAGGUCACUAAAAAAAACGUGAGAUAAACAUCUAGGAUAAGAAAACCAAAAAUAGUAACCUAAUAUGUAUUAUAUGAAUUGAAGGUGUCACUGAACGCUACCAACCUGCUUUGCCACUCUCCUUAUGAUUUCAUCAUUUGGUAAGGGCAUGUAAGGAUCGCCAGGCGUCAAAACACAUCUGCAAGAUAAUAUGGUUAUAGUGAGAAACACAGAAUACAAAGACACUUGGCAAAAGGAAGUCAACCAGAUUCCAUGCACAAAAUGAAACUAAAAACGACAAGGAUUAGAAAUUUUUCUUACUGGAGUAAUGAACCUUGCCCUUCUCUGUAGUAGUCUUCUGGUGAAGUGAGUGCUAGAUCUGCAAAGCAAGAGAAAUCUGCAUCUGGAGUAUACAAAAGGUUAUCUAACCCCAGAGCUUGCCUCAAUUGCCUACAUGUUCAAAACAAGGAUCUGUUAAAAAAUGGAAAUUUCUUCAAUGCCUUAGUAAAGGGAAGUGAAGUGAAAGCUGAUUUCUUAGGCCUUUAAAGAGCAUCUUGUGUUUGAAUUCCUGUAACCUCACAAAAGAUUAGAGCAUCACCUUGACCGUUCUAGGUCUUGCAACUCAGUAACCCAACCAUUGUAUCUAAGCUGCACUGUGACCACAGGAACUCCAACUAGC
rnacentral:lncRNA from 1 species